rnacentral:rRNA from 1 species
AACGAACGCUGGCGGCAUGCCUAACACAUGCAAGUCGAACGAGACCUUCGGGUCUAGUGGCGCACGGGUGCGUAACGCGUGGGAACCUGCCCUUAGGUUCGGAAUAACUCCCCGAAAGGGGUGCUAAUACCGGAUAAUGUCUUCGGACCAAAGAUUUAUCGCCUUUGGAUGGGCCCGCGUUGGAUUAGCUAGUUGGUAGGGUAAAAGCGUACCAAGGCGACGAUCCAUAGCUGGUCUGAGAGGAUGAUCAGCCACACUGGGACUGAGACACGGCCCAGACUCCUACGGGAGGCAGCAGUGGGGAAUAUUGGACAAUGGGCGAAAGCCUGAUCCAGCUAGGCCGCGUGAGUGAUGAAGGCCUUAGGGUUGUAAAGCUCUUUUACCCGGGAGGAUAAUGACAGUACCGGGAGAAUAAGCUCCGGCUAACUCCGUG